rnacentral:SRP_RNA from 1 species
CGGGCUCUGUGCAACGAAACCCCGUGAACUCCGCCAGGUCCGGAAGGAAGCAACGGUAGCGGGUCAUUUCCGUGUGCCGCAGA